UACGUAGGGUGCGAGCGUUAAUCGGAAUUACUGGGCGUAAAGCGUGCGCAGGCGGUUAUAUAAGUCAGACGUGAAAUCCCCGGGCUCAACCUGGGAACUGCGUUUGAGACUGUAUGACUAGAGGAUGGCAGAGGGGGGUAGAAUUCCACGUGUAGCAGUGAAAUGCGUAGAGAUGUGGAGGAAUACCGAUGGCGAAGGCAGCCCCCUGGGCUAUUACUGACGCUCAUGCACGAAAGCGUGGGGAGCAAACAGG
rnacentral:rRNA from 1 species